CCUCGCAUCGGGGCGGCAGUCGAGGCUCGUCAGUCGACCAAGUAAUACGUAUCCUGUUGAUCGUCGGUAUAAGUGUGUAACGAACAACGUGUAUAUAAAGAUAAACGCGAAACGGAAGAAAAAACGUAAAAUUUAAUUGCUUGCAACGGUGAAAAGUAAUAAUUGUGCUCGCCUCGAAGUUUUUACGUUGUUUUUUCGUUCGUAUUGCCUCGUAUAGUUUCGGUCGUGAGUGUUAUCUUUAUUUCGUUUAUUUUAUGUGGUGUUCCAUUCGAAUCGAGAAUUUGAUUAAUCGACCGUGUAUACUGGACACAAUUCCUUUCCCUUUUUAACUAUAGAAGAAGAAAUUUGCUUUUCGAUUCAAUAGGAAGAAGGAUGAGUAGGAAACGACGUAUAUGACGCCGUAUCAUCGUAUCGCGAUGAGGUCCAAGAUGAGAAGUUGCAAAUCUCUCUAACAUCGAUGAUAAAUGCUCUUGCCCGAAAGAUAACCAAGCUCCAACCCGAAUCUAGUCGAUCAGAAAUUUCGAUUUCCUUUAGACAAGUACGAUGAUCUCACAGGAAGCGGAAGAAUCAUGGUCCAUGGCGAAGAUUCGAAGAAGUAACGAUUUAUCGAUUGGUCCGUGUGUCAGCAGGCUGGUGGAACGUCGAAUCGUUUGAUAAUUUGAUUAUUUUGCCGCGAAACGACGUUAACCAUGGCAAGAGACAGGCGUGUAAUCGCCGACACGGCAGCCACUCACCUAACAAGCGCGAAGAAAUCGCGUUGGGGGGAAAAGGAGAUCGUCUAGGGAUCCCUAGCAAUUGGAUAUCUAUCUAAGGACAAGAGAGAAAGGAAAAAGUGACAUUGCGGAGAAAUAAUCGUUCGUAUUCCCAUCUAGCAAGGCUCGAUUGAAAACAAGUCGGUUGGAACAGCGUGGAUCCAUUCGGAACAGUGAGCAUCGAAAUGAAGCUAGGAGAUAACAUGACUAUGGAUGCGUGCAACGUAUGGGGCAACGCUCCUCCGCGAAAAUGUCGGCCACCGAAAAUCGGCGAUAUUCCAAAACACACCGCGAUCGACGAAGAGUCUCCAGGUUCCAUCCCAAAAUCGUUGACAAUCGCCGCGCCAACUUCGAGGGACGCUUCCCUGGACAUUCCUCUGGAUAGAGAAAAUCUCGUUUUCCCAUUGCCUUCCACCGCCUCCACCGACCAACGUCCUUCCAUCCGAAAAUUCGAAUCGAAAGCAAUUCUAUCGUGCAAGGAAUCGUCCAUCAAGUUCCAGUAUCCAUCCACGAAACGUGAAUCCCAACAACCCGUGAACAUUUUCAACAAAUCCUUCCGUUCACCAGAACAGACCAAACUUCCAACGAAGAAAUCGCCAGAUGGGGGCAAGCAAAAGGACCAGACGAGAGAAAGAUUCGCCGAUUUGGAAGGGAAAGUGACCAUCAAGUUGCCAUCUGACGAAUUGACCACGUUUGGAUCAUCCAAAGAUCACGAAGAUUCCAUCACCAGGAUUCCAUCCAGCCCGGAGGACAUUUCUGAUCAAGAGAUCGUCGAAGUGAGAAAGGACAGUGCCUUGUUUCUGGAGGAGGCCGAAGGAUUGCCCACCCUUCGAGAAAUUUUGAAAUCCAAGGCCCCAAGAGUGGUGAGACCUAGGAGAGAGAGCAGUGGAUACGCGAGUAAUUUGGGGACGUUCGACGAGGAGAGAAGGAAUUCGUCGACCGUGGAUGUGUUGCAAGAUUUGUCGUUCAUCAAGGAGAGGCGCAGAUCCUCCACGACUAAACGAUUGAGUUCGAGAGUGAUAUUGGGGAGAGGCGAAGAAAGCUUGACAGAGGACGUCGAGGUUGGAAGCAUGCCUACCACAGAGUUGCAUAGAAAGGUGUCCGGAGCUGGACUCGAGAUGCCUAACAUAGAGGAAGUUAAGGAGAUUCUCAGAGAUGAAGCUCCUUCUAGGGAGGAGAGCCUGGAUAAUUUGUCUGGAUUGACAAAACGUAUCAAUUCUGAAGACUUCUCCACGCAUUGUCGUCUAAGCGAUUUAGCAGAUCGAGGCGACUGUUCAAAAGACAGAUCAGAAGUACCAUCCACUAAAUGCCAAGAAUCAUCGACCAUCUUCGAUCCUUACGAUUCUAUAAACCGCUUUUCUCCAACUUCGACGAGUCAAACACCAUUUAUUCUUUGCACCACGCCAACGAUUUUUCACGAUUCUCGAAAUACCGAUACGAAACGCACGGACGGUGUGUCGAUCGAUCGAUCGAAAGAUAUCAAUCCCGAGAGGGUCAGAACUGUCAUGUCAAAAAUCAACGAAACGCCACUCGACAAAAUCUCUGUGAUUCAGAGGAAGGAAGAAACGAUGAAGCAAUCCGUCAGAGAGAAUAUUGUUCCACGACCGAUCAAGAUGUACCAGUUGCUUUCCACCCAGUCUGAAGACAGGGUAGAGGGCGAGCUGCAGUUGGACAGAAGGAUAUUUCAAAUUUCGAAACAAGAUGACACGAGUGCGGUGAUAUCUUCGACGAAACAUCCUUUGAACAAGUCUUCGAGCGUUUUCACGCUGAAAAGCAGCGCUUCUGGGGACAUUCAGACGUUGACGUGUGGCGAAACUGCGGACGAUUCGAACGUUAGGAAAGCGAUUUCACCUGGAGAGGUGGGAACCAGUCAGAGUUUUCUUGGAGAUGCCUCGAGUGUCUCUGUGAGACCUAUUUAUCCUUAUUGCCCUUAUUCUCCGUAUGGAAGUCCUCAGGGAUCACCCAGAAACAGGAGGAGGCCUUUGAGGGAGAGCAGGAGAGUUUCCAUCGACAACAAACAGGGGGCUCUUCAACUGAAUCAAUAUAAAUUGUUGGACAACAUUGGUCAGGGUUCCUACGGGAUUGUAAAACUAGUUUAUAACGAAGAAGACGAGACCCAAUACGCGAUGAAGAUUCUGAGCAAGAAGAAACUGAUGAAGAAGGCGGGGAUAUUCGGUCGGAUGGCUCCGGGGAGAAAGGGUGCGGCCAACCCUUUGGCCAAAGUCUACAGGGAGAUCGCGUUGUUGAAGAAACUGGAUCAUCCGAACGUGGUGAAAUUGGUCGAAGUUCUCGACGACCCGGACGAGGAUAAUCUUUACCUUGUUUUCGAAUUGGUCCAGAGGGGAGAGAUCCUUCAGGUGCCCACCGACAAACCCCUCGACGAGGAAACUGCCAGGAAGAAUUUUCGUGACGUUGUAAUGGGCGUGGAAUAUCUGCACUACCAGAGGAUAGUGCAUCGCGACAUAAAACCGAGCAACCUGUUGGUGGACAGCGACGGUCGGAUUAAGAUCGCCGAUUUAGGGGUUAGCGCAGAGCUCAGGGCGUCCGGAGAAUUGUUGUCGGGGCCGGCCGGAACACCGGCGUUUGCUGCACCCGAAACAACCACGCCUGGCGCCCAUUAUUCCGGAACGUUGUGUGACGUAUGGUCAAUGGGAGUGACAUUGUAUUGUUUGGUGACCGGAAGAAUACCUUGGGAUGGAGCCGGAAGUAUAAUUGGCGUUCAAGCGGCAAUACGCAGUGAACCGUUAAAAUUUCCAGAGAAACCAGCCCUUUCGCAAAGUCUCCGCGAAUUGAUCUCAAAAAUGCUAGCCAAAGAUCCGGCCGAAAGGAUCACGCUGUCAGAGAUGAAGGAACACGUUUGGCUGACCAAUUGUGGCGCUGAACCACUGCCAAUCGAAGCUGACAACUGUCGACUUCCGGUUACCGUUACGGAUGAAGAAGUGGAACGAGUGGUUACGAGAAUACCCAAACUUGACACUUUGAUUCUUAUCAAAACUAUGCUGAAGCAGCACAGUUUUCAAAAUCCGUUCUUGCCGAAGAAGGGUGGAAAACCGGCGAACACGGCGGCGGAUAGCAUAGAAUUAUCCCCAUCGGAAAGAGCCGAGGAAAUCUCACAGGAGAAGAAAAUAAUUAGGAACGUAAAGACAGAGCAGUUUCAAAGAACAGGUAGAAGCAAUUCCGCCCCGGAUUCUUAUGAUUGGCAAACAAAUGGCAGACAAAUAUCUACAGAAAGUCCUCUACCUCCGGUGACAGAAGCAUCCAUUCAGGAAACGGAAAUAGAGAAACGGUGAUAUCACGGAUCAACAUGACGAGGAAAACCACAAUCAACCAAUUAGUUGAUAAAAAAAACGCAACUAAAAAUUGAUUAUAGAUAUCUGGAAGGAAUAUUUUCACACAUAAUAUUAUUAUAUGUAAAGGAUAUACAAAAUUUCGGUUUAAAAAUUCGAAAAUCCACAUGAUUGCAAUAAAUCAUUAAGUUUUUUUUUGAAAUAACUUCGAAAUAAUCGUUUUUUCGGCGAAAAUAGUUAUAUCCUUUAUUUCAAAGUAUUGCAUCAUGUACUAUAAUGAUUUUUUUUUUAGCGUAUCGAUUAUUUUUCAUUUAUUCUGAAUCAAUUAUUUCAUGGUAAUUACAAUUGCAAAUGAUUUCAAACAACGUUCGUUUAUGAAUUCACUUUAAACAGUACUACUUCUUCGAUUUUCGAAACUGAAAGUAAUAUUACAAAUAAUUAAACAAAUUAUUGGAUGAAGGAAUAUGUUAAAAUUAAUUU
rnacentral:misc_RNA from 1 species